UCGAACCACUCUCAGCCACUGCGAGAUUAAGUUGUUGGAUACGCCUUUGCGAAGUGAUCUGUUAUUUCAAACGAUCGAGCUAGUAUUCAGCGAUCGAGGGGUGUAUUAACUUUUUAUCAUCAAAACUUAAGUGAGCUGCAACUGUCGUGCUGUGCAGUCAAAUGUUUGUGUGGGUGUCACGAGCUCACGAAUUGCCUUCUCACACUGCGCAGGGGUCAACAAGUGCGGAUGUAUGUCUUGAAUGUAACAUUGUCAAUUGUGGUAGACUCGCGGAUCAAGGACGUGUUGUGAUGCAGCUCAAUAAAAAAUCAGCCCUACUUAAAUAAGAAGUGGAGAUCUCCAGAGACGGGAGCUAAUUUCCAAAUACCACAUAAGUAUGAACCCUCGUGCUUCAUAUUAAGAUGGGUGUAGCUACUAAAAUCAAGAACAUAUGGCUAUGCAGAUUGUUCAUUUCAGUACACAUUCUCCUCACAAUGUUACAUUGUCCCAGUGUGCAGUGGCUAUUGUUAUUAAUAAUCUAUUUAACUGUAAAAAAAAAUCUACCAGUGUAGAAAUGAUUUACCACUUUACUAUAUUCACAAUCUAAAUGCUUAUAAAUUCCAGCUGUUAUUAGCUUUAAAGAAACGAAAAGACCCUCAGCAUAUUAGCGGGAUUUGUGAAGAUAUUACUAAGGAUGGUGAACUAAAUAAAUGAAUAAAAUGUAUAUGUGAGAUAUUGUACAUUGCAAUGGAUGGGAGUGUGUACCCCUUGGAGGGUGAAUAAAUAGUAAAGAAUACAGAAUGUAUGUGACAGGGAGAGAGAGAGAGAGCAAAAGUUAGGUUUUAUUUCAACGGAUAAGACAGUAUGGUACUAUGUGGAAAUAGUAAUCACGGUCUUGUAAUCAGUGAGUUGAGGCGUGAUGUCUCAUUUGCAUUGGGGCAUUUCAUUACAUACAAUCCAACACAUGCAGACAUAAAUUAUUACACUGGAAAUUCAUCACUGCAUAAGCAACAUGCUAUAACCCACAAACAGGUAGAAGUGUUUAUACAGCAAAUCAUUCAACUGGGAAACACAAAGAAAAGAAAUGAAAAAGACAACACUUCACAAGUGUACUACUCCUCAAACUUUUUGUGCAAAAAAAUGUCUUCCUUUCUCUGGGGAGGAAAACAUAACAGAAUCAAGAAAUCAGUAGUCUGUAAACCCUACGGGCUUAAAAUGUGUGACAUUUACUCUUUCUAUCAACAAUGAAACCUAGCUGGUUAAAAAGAAUCGAGCAAGACAACACCACUGCAAAGAUUCUCUUGACUAGUCAUUCCAUACUUAAAAACAUA